rnacentral:rRNA from 1 species
UACAGAGGUCUCAAGCGUUGUUCGGAUUUAUUGGGCGUAAAGGGUGCGUAGGCGGCGCGGUAAGUCGGGUGUGAAAUCUUGGAGCUUAACUCCGAAACUGCAUUCGAUACUGCCGUGCUUGAGGACUGGAGAGGAGACUGGAAUUUACGGUGUAGCGGUGAAAUGCGUAGAUAUCGUAAGGAAGACCAGUGGCGAAGGCGGGUCUCUGGACAGAUCCUGACGCUGAGGCGCGAAGGUCAGGGGAGCAAACGGG